rnacentral:rRNA from 1 species
UGCGAGUGAAGCGGCAACAGCUCAAAUUUGAAAUCUGGCCUCUUCGGGGUCCGAGUUGUAAUUUGUAGAGGGUGUUUCGGGCGCGAUGCCGGUCUAAGUUCCUUGGAACAGGGCGUCGUAGAGGGUGAGAAUCCCGUAUGCGACCGGCGAUCAAGCCUGUGUGAAGCCCCUUCGACGAGUCGAGUUGUUUGGGAAUGCAGCUCAAAAUGGGUGGUAAAUUUCAUCUAAAGCUAAAUAUUGGCCAGAGACCGAUAGCGGACAAGUAGAGUGAUCGAAAGAUGAAAAGCACUUUGGAAAGAGAGUCAAACAGUACGUGAAAUUGUUGAAAGGGAAGCGCUUGCAAUCAGACCGGUCCGGAGGCGAUCAGCCGUCUGCUCGUCAGCGGUGCACUCGCCUGCGAUCCGGCCAGCAUCGGUUUGGGCGGUGGGAUAAAAGUCCCGGGAAUGUAGCUUCUCUCGGGGAGUCUUAUAGCCCGGGUCGCAAUGCCGCCCGCCCGGACCGAGGACCGCGCUUCGGCUAGGAUGCUGGCGUAAUGGUUGCAAGCG